CGACCGGCGCACGGGUGAGUAACACGUAUGCAACCUGGCCGCCACAGGGGGAUAACCCGCGGAAACGCGGCCUAAUACCCCGUGACGCCACCGGAGGGCAUCCUCCGGUGGCCAAAGGAGCGAUCCGGUGGCGGAUGGGCAUGCGGCGCAUUAGCUAGACGGCGGGGUGACGGCCCACCGUGGCGACGAUGCGCAGGGGUUCUGAGAGGAAGGCCCCCCACACUGGGACUGAGACACGGCCCAGACUCCUACGGAAGGCAGCAG
rnacentral:rRNA from 1 species